rnacentral:rRNA from 1 species
AGAGUUUGAUCCUGGCUCAGAUUGAACGCUAGCGGGAUGCUUUACACAUGCAAGUCGAACGGCAGCACGAGAGAGCUUGCUCUCUUGGUGGCGAGUGGCGGACGGGUGAGUAAUAUAUCGGAACGUGCCCAGUAGCGGGGGAUAACUACUCGAAAGAGUGGCUAAUACCGCAUACGCCCUACGGGGGAAAGGGGGGGAUCGCAAGACCUCUCACUAUUGGAGCGGCCGAUAUCGGAUUAGCUAGUUGGUGGGGUAAAGGCUCACCAAGGCAACGAUCCGUAGCUGGUUUGAGAGGACGACCAGCCACACUGGGACUGAGACACGGCCCAGACUCCUACGGGAGGCAGCAGUGGGGAAUUUUGGACAAUGGGGGAAACCCUGAUCCAGCCAUCCCGCGUGUAUGAUGAAGGCCUUCGGGUUGUAAAGUACUUUUGGCAGAGAAGAAAAGGCAUCCCCUAAUACGGGAUGCUGCUGACGGUAUCUGCAGAAUAAGCACCGGCUAACUACGUGCCAGCAGCCGCGGUAAUACGUAGGGUGCAAGCGUUAAUCGGAAUUACUGGGCGUAAAGCGUGUGUAGGCGGUUCGGAAAGAAAGAUGUGAAAUCCCAGGGCUCAACCUUGGAACUGCAUUUUUAACUGCCGAGCUAGAGUAUGUCAGAGGGGGGUAGAAUUCCACGUGUAGCAGUGAAAUGCGUAGAUAUGUGGAGGAAUACCGAUGGCGAAGGCAGCCCCCUGGGAUAAUACUGACGCUCAGACACGAAAGCGUGGGGAGCAAACAGGAUUAGAUACCCUGGUAGUCCACGCCCUAAACGAUGUCAACUAGCUGUUGGGGCCGUUAGGCCUUAGUAGCGCAGCUAACGCGUGAAGUUGACCGCCUGGGGAGUACGGUCGCAAGAUUAAAACUCAAAGGAAUUGACGGGGACCCGCACAAGCGGUGGAUGAUGUGGAUUAAUUCGAUGCAACGCGAAAAACCUUACCUACCCUUGACAUGUCUGGAAUGCCGAAGAGAUUUGGCAGUGCUCGCAAGAGAACCGGAACACAGGUGCUGCAUGGCUGUCGUCAGCUCGUGUCGCGAGAUGUUGGGUUAAGUCCCGCAACGAGCGCAACCCUUGUCAUUAGUUGCUACGCAAGAGCACUCUAAUGAGACUGCCGGUGACAAACCGGAGGAAGGUGGGGAUGACGUCAAGUCCUCAUGGCCCUUAUGGGUAGGGCUUCACACGUCAUACAAUGGUCGGGACAGAGGGUCGCCAACCCGCGAGGGGGAGCCAAUCUCAGAAACCCGAUCGUAGUCCGGAUCGCAGUCUGCAACUCGACUGCGUGAAGUCGGAAUCGCUAGUAAUCGCGGAUCAGAAUGUCGCGGUGAAUACGUUCCCGGGUCUUGUACACACCGCCCGUCA